AUAAUCAUUAGUCUCUUAAUUAGAGAAUUGUAUGAAUGGUUUUACGUAGUGUUAUUUUUUUAAUAAAGUAAAUUGAAAUUAAAUUUAAAGUGAAAAUGCUUUAAUUUUUAUUAAGACGAUAAGACCCUAUAGAGUUUUAUUUAUAUUAAAAAUAAAAAUUAUUAUUUAAUGUAUUUUUUAAGAUUAAAUUUAAUUGGGGCAAUUAAAGAAUAAAUUAAACUUCUUUAUAUUAUACUUUAUAAAAUUAUAUAACUUAAUUAAAAAUUUUAUAAAAAAUUACCUUAGGGAUAACAGCGUUAUUGAGAUUGAGAGUUCUUAUCGACAUCUUAGUUUGCGACCUCGAUGUUGAAUUAAAAAUUUUAAAGGGGGCAGCAUUUCUUUUAAAUAGUCUGUUCGACUAUUAAAUUUUUACAUGAUUUGAGUUCAAAUCGGCGUGA
rnacentral:rRNA from 1 species